rnacentral:rRNA from 1 species
UACGACUACAUAUCAGGCAUAUCAAUAAGCGGAGGAAAAGAAACUAACAAGGAUUCCCUUAGUAACGGCGAGUGAAGCGGGAAGAGCUCAAAUUUGAAAUCUUCAAGGUUUUACCUUGACGAAUUGUAGUUUAAAGAAGUGUUUUCUGUUGGUGUUUUGGUAAAAGUUCUUUGGAAUAGGACAUCAUAGAGGGUGAGAAUCCCGUAUUUGACCAUUACUUCCAGCGUUGUGAUACACUUUCAAAGAGUCGGAUUGUUUGGGAGUGCAGUCCAAAAUGGGUGGUAAAUUUCAUCUAAAGCUAAAUAUUGGCGAGAGACCGAUAGCGAACAAGUACCGUGAGGGAAAGAUGAAAAGAACUUUGAAAAGAGAGUUAAACAGUACGUGAAAUUGUCAAAAGGGAAGCGUUUGACACCAGUGUUGUUUUCUCGAAAAUCAAUUAAAAAGUAUGGGAUUUUGUAUUGUUAAGACCUUAUCAGCUUACGGUACUUUUUUCUUAUUCUUUUUAAUGCACUUUUCGUUUAACAAGUCAACAUCAAUUUCUUUUGUUGUAAAAGAGUCAUUGGAAGGUGGCUUUCACUUCGGUGAAAGUGUUUAUAGCCUUUGGACUUCUGCAAUCGGAGAGAUUGAGGUCUGCAGCGUAGAUCCUUCGGGGUUAGAUACGUAUGAUGCUAAGUUAUAGCUUUUUCAUAGACAACUUGUUGACUAUGAUUUAGUCAUGUAGCUUACUCGCUUAUGCGCUAUUUUACCUACGCUUAGGAUGUUGAAUCUGUGCGAGACUAC